CUCUACUUGCCGUUAGAUUGCCAUCGUGCGGUUUGCUCGGGGAUAUCCAGGACACACAGGAUCCUCUCCUUUCUAGAGUCGUCGUUUUCCUCGGCCUCUUCACCUCAAGCUCCUCGCAUCCACUCGUUUCUUAUCUCCUCCCCACAAACUACUCCUCCACGACCAGCCCACAUCGAAGGGAUCCCGGCGCCGGCGGAGGAGAAACAGGAGGCGCUGGUGGUGCGGAUCGAACAGCGAUCGAGCUCCGGUGUCGAAGGGCGGCGGUCAUGGCGGUUGGGGAGGAGCUCGCGCUCCUAUGGCAAAGGGGCGGGGGCAAUGGAGUUGGUGGGGGCUCGGGGGUGUGGGGCGAGGCGGCGGACGCCCACCUCCACCGCGUAUUGAAGGCCCCUCCUCUGUAGCGCGCCGCCAGGAGGACUGCAUAGGACCAGAGAGUUCCCACGCAGGGUGCAGGACCUUGAUCCGGGAGAAGAUGUGCUGCUGGCCGAAGGAUCCGCCUUGGCUAUCGCGCUCGCAAGAGCCGCCACGCCGUGCCGCUCCGUUGUUUUCCCCCUCCAGCGUAUGCACAUCAACAGCGCCCGUCGCCCCGCCUUUAGCCUGAUUCCCGAUCGAAAGCAGCAGUCUGCAGGCAUGGUCGUCCACGCAAGAAGGCAGCAGGCCACUUUUUCCUCUCGCGUAUGUGGUGUCCUCUCCCUCUCGUCUUUUCUGGCUGCUUCCAUGGGCAUACUACUUGAUCUACUCUACAUAUUGAUGAUGUAGUUAUUCACCUCCAGAUCAAUAGAAGAUUAUGUUCCCUAGAUGUAAUUUUUGCAGUCCAAUUUUUGCCUCUUAAGUUUUUUUACUUCUAGAAUGGUCAAAAGAUGUAUAUUAUGUCACUGGAUGUAUUUUUUGCACACUAAUUUUCGCCUAUUGAAUUUUCCACUUUUCAGAAUCAGUGAAAUGAUGUAACUAUGUUAGUUUCUUUCUCUACUUUAGAUGUAAUUUUUAUUAUUUUUCUACAUCCAGAACGUUUAAAAGGGUCAAGGUGUAAAACACUAUAAUAUUUGUGAUCCCAGCUUUUGUGAUUUUUGAUGUAAUUUUUAUAUUUUUUUACAUCUAUCAUUAUAUUUUUUACAUCCUCAAUUAGAUCACUUAUGAGUUGUUUUUUUACGAGGAAAGUAAUUUUCUCUAUCUCUACUACUUAAAAAGAAGGAACGUGUUCCCCCUUCUCCCCUACUUUCGUCGUCCUUCUGGUCGCUCCACCUCUCCCGAACAAGCCGACAAGUGGGCCAGAUCCCAAAAUUCUCUCCCCGAGUCGAUUUCCUCAUCUCCCGUGCGCUGCUCCCCCACCUUCUCUCCCUCUCUCGCCUGCAAGCACCAACUAGGGUUCCGUCGCCGGUCCAUUGCACCCUUGUUGCUGGUCGUUGACCUCAAAAGCGGGAUCCCCGCGCUGCGCCAUGAUCGCCGCCAUUUGCGAAAAUACGCCGCCCACCGCCCCCGAUGCCUAUGUCGCCCACCAUCCCCAUCUCGAUCAUCGCCGGCGCCCCUCACCUCCAGCGCGGACGCUGGUCGUCACAGUGUAGGCUGACGCCAGCUAAUGUAUCGAGCUUCGCCGUCAUCGGAGCCCAUCAGGUCUAGCGUGGACGCCGACCAUAGAAGCGCAGGACGACGCCGCCCACAAUACGUAGCUCGGCCUCCUCCGCCCCUCAAGAUCUUUGAGCAUGGGUGCUUGAUCCGUCGACAACGAAGGACAACGCGGGUCUGCUGGCGAAGGACAAUGGUGAUUUGUCCCUCCCUCGCCCUCUUCGACAUGGUGUCCUACCUCCACUCGCUCGCCUCUAGCCCCUCCCUCGACCAGGAAGGGAUCCACGAGGGGGUGCUGCAGCGCUGGGAUGAGAUGGUGAGUAAGCUCGGCCUCUUCUCCUCCAACGAGACCAAGGAAGACGUCUCCAACGCAACCUCAACUACUCGUGACAUACUACCUUGGUGAGAUGACUGAACAAGUGGAGCAGGAGGAUUGAUUUGGUGGCUGCUUGCGUGCAUGCGUCUGCUGCCCCGCACGAUUUGGUUGAAAUUCAUCGAUUCACAAGUUUGAUAAAUCUGAUGAGAGUUUGAUCAGGGAGGAUACAGAGGAUGGGGAGAAAACAGAGGAGCUUCAUGUGAUUCACGCGAAGGUGGACGAGAUCAUUGCUGAUGAAUGGUUUGUCUCUCUGCGCAAACCUUUGGAGAAAUUUACAUAAAUUAAGAUACAUCCUGCAUUGAUUCACAGGGAACAUACCCGAUUUCGAAAUGUUGCAAAGCCUGGGGUAGAAAAAAAGGGAGAAAGAUCAUCGACGAUACGGUCAGCUCGAUUUUCCUGUGCAAAGGGCCGUGGAGAUGUAAAGAAGGUUGACCAGGAUUCAAGCAUGACUGGCGUCGAGAAUGAGGUCACACCAAGUGUAAUGCUUUCCUCUUGGUCUCAUUCACAUUUGGUAACACCUCUCAAACGCUCCUGCACGCUGCAUCUCCACAAGCCAUGUGCCUUUUUCAAGUUGUAAAUAGGUGGGUGUCCUGCAAUGUAAUUGAUGUACGCUUGUACAUGAAUUCUUUGAUAUCUCAAAGAAAUAUGAUUGCCCAAAAUCUAAUUGGUACAAAGUUGGUUUUUAUACAGAGAGUUUUGAUGAAACACAUGCCUGGAUUUCUGGCUGAUAUAUGACAGAACAGUGCUAUCGUCUAUAACAAUAUACAAUAUGAUGCUUGGCUCCUAGAGCACCUGUAAGUUUGAUCAUAUCUAACCAGAGAGAGGGGGACGAAUCUACUGUUAUGGUUCAUAAUACUAACUUCAUCUAGGCAUCCAUACCAGCCAUGUACACUACUUCAAAUUGUACUUGGUAGCAAAGUUGUCUUAUUUUUUUUGCUUAAAAAAGUCUUGCUGAAUUUUGGGCAGUCACACGAUCAUGCAGCCCUACAAGAAUUUGCAGUCGUGAAGUGACAGAACCAAUGUAUUAGUUGCCCCGGUAGUUAAAUGUUCUGGUGUGUCUAAUGUGCCUUGUAUUGCUUACAUUUGUGUUCUUCCUUUUAAGGCCUCAGAAUGAUGCAUGUGAAUUAUAUAAUUUUAGAUUCUUCAACUUAAAUUUGUAUCUUUGCAAGUUGUCGAGAUGCAAGCUAUUUCUCAGAUUGGUACUGAUAUGAAGUGCUGCUGGUAUAUGGUAGAAAGCGAAGUUUGAGGGAGGUUAUGAAAAUAGCGUAGUUUGUGUGUGAGUCGUAUGAAAUCCAACAAAGUACUACAAAGUAACUUUCCUUGAUCUAGCAUAGUUACUGUUUGUUGAAACAAAGUAAUACAAAGUAACUUUCCUUGAUCUAGCAUAGUUACUGUUUGUUGAAACAAAGUAAUACAAAGCAACUUUCCUUGAUCUAGCAUAGCUAAUUAUAAGUUAUUUUAAUUAGGUAGUUGGGGCGAGAUCUGAUGUUGAAUACAGCUCCAUGCGUCCAAGGAGAAGACAUUUCAUUAACGGAUAAUAGCAGACUGCAGAAGGACGGUGAUAGCAGGAUCCAAAAAAUGUAAUACAAGGUUCGUAACCACAUGGCCAGUAUGCAUUAGGAAUACAUAAAGCAAAUGUUAUAUCACAGUAGGAGUUUUUAUUUGUGCGAAAAGUUAUUUAUUGGAAGCACAAAGACAUCAAGGCACAUGUUUGUUUUCUCCAUUGCAAAAACUUCAUGGCACAUAUUUUUAUUUAUUCAUCCUUUCCAAAUCAAGGUCUUCAUGAGGUAAUGUCUUCUGAGGUAUUGAUGAACAAUUUUUUUGGCUAGAAGAUUUAUUUCCAUUAGUUGCUUACCAACACGCCUGAAGUAGAUGGUCCAGGGAUCUUAUCGACAAGGUGCCAACAAUUGACUGAAUUGUACUACAUCAGGAGAAAGGGCAAGGUAGCGUUUCUUAUUAGUUUCUCAUUUUUCUUUCUUUGCCUUUGAUGCGUCAUUUGUCUGUUUGACUAGGUAGAUACGUAUUUGUCUUAUUUUAGGUAGCAGAACAUGUAAAUUUACAAUGCAGGAGAGGAAGGAAAUUUACCAAAUACUGGUCUGAACUUUGUACACCAUAAUUCUCUUCUCUGCAUGUUUUGUUUUGGCCACAACGAAAUAUUCAUACCGACAUGGAGUACACCUAGAAAACACUGGAGUCUAAACUCGGAAGACAUGGGGUCUUACCUCUGAUUUUUUUGUGCUGUAGCUAUUAAAUAUUUCUACAAACACUAAAGUGAAAUGUGUAAAUAGUAAAUACAGUGUCUUAGUACACAUGUCAAUUGAAUGUGUUAUAUAACGUCGUUCAAGCCUGUAAAUGAGAACUCUUCAUUAUGUAGGGAUGUACAUAUGUUUGUAUUUGUACCAUGCUUCGUUCAUCCUUUUUGAACAUAUUUGUUUUUGGUGUUCAUACGGUUCUGCAGUGUUGCAAGUGCUUCAUGUAUACUACCCGAGAUAUAGGUAUAUGGGGGAUUUACUAGCACGCCGAGAGGCUCAUGGCACAACAGGUAUCAUUGAAUUCCUUGGCUUUUUAGUUGAUGUACCAUUGCGCCACGAGUGCUAGCUAGAAAUUGGCCGACUAUGCAUAUUUGGACUUGAAUAAGCAAUUAGGAGUAAUAGGGGUAUUUUUCUUGGCCUAUCUCAAACUUAAAGGGGCGGAGAAUUAUUCAAAAAGGUGAGAUAUUGUAUGGUGCAUAUCUUUUAACAUUAGCUGGAUUGAUUCUGAAAUGGAGAGCAAACACAUGGCGAGGAAUUAGCUGAAGGUCAACAAUGUCUUUCUCGAUCUGGCAGCCUCUGACUAAAGUGCACCUGCAAAGUCGACCCCUCGAAAACGCUACUAGCUGGAAGUUUGGAUCCCUUCACUCAUAUUUUCUUAUUUGCCCUCUAGGAAUUUAUGCAUACGCUCAUGUUGUCAUGUUCAAGCUAGCUUUGCUGUUAAACUUCAUGUCGGUAUGGAACCAUUCUCUCAAAUCUAAGUCUCUAUUGUGAACAAUAGUUAGAGUAUUAUUUAUGUGUAAUACAUGCAGUGUCUAGGUUGUUCCCCUUCAACAAAUGUCUUUUUGGCAAUGUAAAUAUAGAAGUGAGGAGGAAGGAGCACAUGUUUUCAUCAAGUUCAAGGAGGUUAACCUGGUGUGUGGCGAAAGCACUACAUAUCGUAUGGAAAAUAUUAGAGCGAUUGAGGUUUCAACUGAUGACUACUUGCUGGAGGAACCAGAAUAGUACCCAUGAAUGACAUAUUCCUUUCUCGAUUGAAGAUGUUGCUCAGAACACUUGAUGCUAUUCUAUACAUGUGCAUUAAGAAAUAAAAUUUGAGACCCGUGGCAACGCACGGGCAUUUGUACUAGUUUAUAAAAAAUAGAUGAAGUUUUGCAUCUAAAUUACAUGGGUUGGAAUACGGUAGGGUGCUUUUUCUCGUUCAGUUGCAGGGGACCUCCGCUCUCGCAUGCGGGGAAAGGGUUUCCUCGGUCACAUUUUCCACUUCGAGUAACAUGUCGCGUUUAGAUCUGGGACCACUGGGACCACUUUCCUGUUUUAGAAAUAAUUCUGUUCAGACAUAAGGGGCACCCUGGUAGACUAACGGGUGCUAUAGCACCGUGUAGCAACGUCCAAAAAAAAAUGCACAUUUGAAGUGAAGUGAUGGCCGAGUAUGUGUAACCAAAUACGGAGUAUGUAAAUCCAGUUGGAUGCUUACAAUACACAUUACAUGACCAGGAGGAUCAUGGCUUACACAAACUAAUCGAUCCUUUCCUUAUUCAAGUGGAGCAAAUCAACACACGCUAGUAACGAUAACGACCGAAAUAACGAAGCUUGCUAGGCUAGGGCACACACACACCACCUGCGUACGUUGCGUACAUACAUAGGCAAAGCAACAUACU